rnacentral:rRNA from 1 species
GUAGGUGGCAAGCGUUGUCCGGAAUUACUGGGCGUAAAGCGCGCGCAGGCGGUCCUUUAAGUCUGAUGUGAAAGCCCACGGCUCAACCGUGGAGGGUCAUUGGAAACUGGGGGACUUGAGUACAGAAGAGGAAAGCGGAAUUCCAAGUGUAGCGGUGAAAUGCGUAGAGAUUUGGAGGAACACCAGUGGCGAAGGCGGCUUUCUGGUCUGUAACUGACGCUGAGGCGCGAAAGCGUGGGGAGCAAACAGGGAUUAGAUACCCUGGUAGUCCACGCCGUAAACGAUGAGUGCUAAGUGUUAGGGGGUUUCCCGCCCCUUAGUGCUGCAGCUAACGCAUUAAGCACUCCGCCUGGGGGAUACGGCCGCAAGGCUG